GACGAUCUUUGGCGGCGUGCUUAACACAUGCAAGUCGAACGAGAAUCUACUGAAAGAGUUUUCGGACAAUGGAAGUAGAGGAAAGUGGCGGACGGGUGAGUAACGCGUGAGGAACCUGCCUUGAAGAGGGGGACAACAGUUGGAAACGACUGCUAAUACCGCAUGACGCAUAGAGGUCGCAUGAUCUUUAUGCCAAAGAUUUAUCGCUUCAAGAUGGCCUCGCGUCUGAUUAGCUAGUUGGCGGGGUAACGGCCCACCAAGGCGACGAUCAGUAGCCGGACUGAGAGGUUGAACGGCCACAUUGGGACUGAGAUACGGCCCACACUCCUACGGGAGGCAGCAGUGGGGAAUAUUGGGCAAUGGGCGCAAGCCUGACCCAGCAACGCCGCGUGAAGGAAGAAGGCUUUCGGGUUGUAAACUUCUUUUAAGAGGGAAGAGCAGAAGACGGUACCUCUAGAAUAAGCCACGGCUAACUACGUGCCAGCAGCCGCGGUAAUACGUAGGUGGCAAGCGUUGUCCGGAUUUACUGGGUGUAAAGGGCGUGCAGCCUGGUCUGCAAAUCAGAUGUGAAAUCCAUGGGCUCAACCCAUGAACUGCAUUUGAAACUGUAGAUCUUGAGUGUCGGAGGGGCAAUCGGAAUUCCUAGUGUAGCGGUGAAAUGCGUAGAUAUUAGGAGGAACACCAGUGGCGAAGGCGGAUUGCUGGACGAUAACUGACGGUGAGGCGCGAAAGUGUGGGGAGCAAACAGGAUUAGAUACCCUGGUAGUCCACACUGUAAACGAU
rnacentral:rRNA from 1 species